rnacentral:rRNA from 1 species
AUACGUAGGGGGCGAGCGUUGUCCGGCUUUAUUGGGCGUAAAGGGUGCGUAGGCGGCCUUGUAAGUCAGAUGUGAAAGAUAAUGGCUUAACUGUGGUAAGCAUUUGCAACUGCAGGGCUUGAGUACAGGAGAGGAGAGUGGAAUUCCUAGUGUAGCGGUGAAAUGCGUAGAUAUAAGGAGGAAUACCAGUGGCGAAGGCGACUCUCUGGACUGAUACUGACGCUGAGGCACGAAAGCGUGGGGAGCAAACAGGAUUAGAUACCCUGGUGGUCCACGCUAUAAACGAUGAGUGCUAGGUGUCGGGGGUCAAACCUCGGUGCCGCAGUUAACACAUUAAGCACUCCGCCUGGGGAGUACGGCCGCAAGGCUGAAACUCAAAGGAAUUGGCGGGG